UACGAAGGGGGCUAGCGUUGCUCGGAAUCACUGGGCGUAAAGCGCACGUAGGCGGAUUGUUAAGUCAGGGGUGAAAUCCUGGAGCUCAACUCCAGAACUGCCUUUGAUACUGGCGAUCUCGAGUCCGGGAGAGGUGAGUGGAACUGCGAGUGUAGAGGUGAAAUUCGUAGAGUAUUCGCAAGAACACCAGUGGCGAAGGGCGGCUCACCUGGGCCCGGUACUGACGCUGAGGUGCGAAA
rnacentral:rRNA from 1 species